rnacentral:misc_RNA from 1 species
GAAUAAAAUAAACCUCAUCAUUGUCAUUGUCAUUGUCUCCAAGAUUUUGGCAAACUAAAAACAUUAGUAACACAGAAUAAAUAAUGCGGCACAGAAAUUUUCUUGUGUGUUACAUGUAUUCAUAUUCCUUCACAAAACAAAGAUAACAUCCUUAGGUAUGCAGGAGUAAGUCUCCUAGAAUAAGGACUCUUGAACUCUUACCGCUAGUAUGAGUUGAGACUGAA